AUGGCUCAGAACGAACGCUGGCGGCGUGCUUAACACAUGCAAGUCGAAACGCGAAAGGGACUUCGGUCCUGAGUAAAGUGGCGCACGGGUGAGUAACGCGUAGAUAACCUGUCUUCAUGUCUGGAAUAAUACGCCAAAGGGGUACUAAUACCGGAUAUCUUGCUUUUCAUAAGUUAUGCAAGCAAAGGUGGCCUCUGCAUAUGCUACUGCAUGAAGAGGGGUCUGCGUACCAUUAGCUAGUAGGUGGGGUAAUGGCCUACCUAGGCGACGAUGGUUAGCGGGUCUGAGAGGAUGAUCCGCCACACUGGCACUGGAACACGGGCCAGACUCCUACGGGAGGCAGCAGUGAGGAAUAUUGCGCAAUGGGGGAAACCCUGACGCAGCGACGCCGCGUGAAGUGAGGAAGGCCUUCGGGUCGUAAAGCUCUGUCAAGAGGAAAGAAGUGUACAAUGGCUAAUACCUGUUGUAUUUGACGGUACCUCUAAAGGAAGCACCGGCUAACUCCGUGCCAGCCGCCGC
rnacentral:rRNA from 1 species